GAUGAAGAACGCAGCGAAAUGCGAUAAGUAAUGUGAAUUGCAGAAUUCAGUGAAUCAUCGAAUCUUUGAACGCACAUUGCGCCCGCCAGUAUUCUGGCGGGCAUGCCUGUUCGAGCGUCAUUUCAACCAUCAAGCCCCCGGCUUGUGUUGGGGACCUGCGGCUGCCGCAGGCCCUGAAAAGCAGUGGCGGGCUCGCUGUCACACCGAGCGUAGUAGAUUUCAUCUCGCUCAGGGCGUGCUGCGGGUUCCGGCCGUUAAACCACCUUCAUAACCCAAGGUUGACCUCGGAUCAGGUAGGAAGACCCGCUGAACUUAAGCAUAUCAAUAAGCGGAGGA
rnacentral:misc_RNA from 1 species